rnacentral:tRNA from 1 species
GUGGAGAUGGCUCAGUGGACAAGAGCUCUUGCCUGGCAAACAAGAGGAUCUGAGUUAAAGUUCCCAGCACCCACA